AAAUUUUCAGGAGGAAGGCCUCAGAGUGGUAAUGCAAGAAUUUAAGAGAGAGAAGGCAGAGAACGAGCAUCGUACUGCAACUCUCUCAAAACUACUUGAUCUGGCAGGUUCACUCGACACCAAGGAACAGCUGAAAACCUUCAGAGAAAACCUUCGGAGAGCAGCACAACAUUCAAGACUACAGAAGGAAGCAAACAUGAGAGGAAUGCUCACUGCCUCAGUCCAAUUAAAUCAACAAAUGAAUGAGGUCCUUCUCCAAAUGGAGAUUAUUUCUCACUUUCCACCACUGCGAGAAGGGAGUGAACUCCUGAUGAAUUUAGUUGGGAAAUUCCAAAAUUUCAUAUCCAGGAAGAUGGCAAUUGCUCAUGCAGAAAUACUACUGGAAGAAAUAUAACAGAGGAAUGUCAAGCUGAGCCAGUUUUAGUUUCCUCCUGUGUGUCUUUUGAUCUGUUGUGUUAUGCUGAUUUGCUUUUUAUGAAUGUAACGGAGACCAGAAAGGGUGGUUUGUGCCUCUCACACUUUCACAUGGAUGAUGGCUUGCCUUAACUCAUGAGCCUGAACCCUCAGAUGGAUUCCAUGGGUUUAACCAAAUCUGGUUUGUGGUAGCCAUACUUCUGCUUCUACAAGCUCAUAACUUUAAUCUUUUUCUCCAGGUUACAUUAUGCUUGGUAACGGUUUUAAUUAUCUAACAUUUGGAUGGUAUUUAGAGUAGCCUAUCAGUAAUUAUGUUUCACUUUCCCUUUUUGUUUAGUUUAUUGGCUCCUUGUUAAGAUGUCAUGAUAUAAGUGAAGUUAGAAAGUUCUAGAAAAUCGAGAUAGGAGAUAGACUAUAUCUGUCUUUAAUGCCACCAUGUCUAUUGAUUAAUGUUGGUAACAAUGAAAUGUUUUUGAGUGAUUUAUUCAAAGCUGUGAAAAUGAUUACUGAUUUGGAGAAUGUACUCUCCAGAUAUAAUGAGACUAAUUACUAAUAAUUAAUAUUGAUCUAAUAUCAAUUCAUUCAUUCUUACAGUGUGCUCCUCAUCUGUAAGUGGUGCCCCCUAUCAAUGAGCUCUGUCGUUAGACUUAAAUUUUUAAUAAUUGAAUUAAUUUAAUAACCUUGGAAUCAUGAUAUCCUCAUCAUUGUAUCAUGUUUCUGAAUGACACACUGUGAAAGGGCAGGAUAAGUUAAAGUUAGCUGGGAAAUGUUUAUUUGUUGGUGUAUUUGCAACUUUUAAAUGAUUUAUUAAUGUAUUUUUAUUUUUUAAGGCCAGUUUUUAUUUUAUUUUAUUUUAUUUUAUUUUAUUUUAUUUUAUUUUUUACAGUCAAUAGUUAAACAACAUGUGUUUCAUUAAUUCCUUUUCAUGUUACUCCUGACUUGACAUAUUCUGGUUGAUUGUAAAACUACAACUUUGAAAUGUAGCAGACGUAUUCUAUUAUAUUCAUUCUAAUAGUUUAAUAGUUUUUUAGCCCUACACUAAAUCUUAGCUUCCCUUAUGACAUUCAGCAUUAAAAUAACUCAGGGAGCUGUUGAUUUAACAUUGUUUUCAUUGUGGAGGCUGUAGUUUGUAGUUGUUAUUGUGUAUUUUACUUCUCCACUUUUAGCAUGUUUCUGAAUGACAAUAUGAAGUGGAAAACUAAUCUCAUGUGUGAUAGAACUCAAAACAUGUUACUAAAAAUACAAGUUAUUUGAAAUAAACAUUUUGUGUUGUGUUUUUGGUGAUCA